ensembl:lncRNA
AUCUCAUUCAACCGUACUCAGCAUUUGUAAAACUCUCACAGCACUGCCUUUAAGAGAAUCGGAGGAAGCACGUCUCUGCAUGUGCUUCCUCUUUUUCCUUAUCUGAUCACCAACAUCCUGUGCACAAAACUGUCACUGCUGCAAGGGCCUCUCAUCUAAAGUCACCUCUCACCAGCAAAAUCAUCAUAAAAUCAUUAUAAGGGCUUAUUCUACUAAAAGGAUAAUAAAAACAACCGCUUUAAUCACUCAGUGUAAGCACAUAGUUAAUUGCUCCUAGAUAAACUUCAUCAUAGCUAAAAGCUGAACUCUAACUGUAUUUUGAACUCCCAUUUUCUGGGUGAUAACCUGUUUGAAUCUAUCAUUUUAUUUCAUUUUGCUGCUUUUAAUGUAAUGCCUCCCUCUAACUUAAACUUUAUCAGACUUAACCAACAUAUAUAAGCUUUCUCCCUUUGCUUCUGUUUUCUGUAUUUCUGUAUUCUGUAACUGCUUUUUAUAUAAGAGGACUAAGUUAGAGCUGCAUCUGUUAUCUCAAUAUUUUAUAUGUCACUCAGUUUAGUUACAAGCAAAACUCCUAUUCAGUUCCUCUUUCUGUCAUUUGUUAUUGGGCCAACUCAAAUUCAGUUAAAAGCUAAAGGAAUUUCAGGCCCUAGGCCUCAAAUCAAUACUGUCCUGUGUGUUGAUGAACUCUGUAUGUCUGUAAGCGUGUGCAAUCCUUCAAAACUCAGGUCAUUCUCACAGUAGAUUGGCUAAUCAUAACGUUAACCAAAAGUUUAUGACCCUCAAGAGACGACUCUCUGAGCCACAACUCCGUCAAAGGCACAAAAAUGCAAUGUGUGAAAAAAAAUCAUUUCUACAUAUAUAAUCUCCAAUAUUAUUCAUCUUAUCCUAAAAAUCAAAAAGAAAUCACACUUUUUCUACUCAUAAAAUGUUCACUAUUUUCCCCAAAGCAUAUCCUUUAUUCCCACAAUUUCCCCUUUAAGUUUGGUGUACAACUUCUUUUUAACCCCAGCAAUUUAUCUUCUAAACAGAAUUCAGUUCAUUUUACUCCUUUCUUUAGAAUUAACAAUCUCCGCCUCAGUUUUACUGUAUCUAGAUUAUCAAACAACCCCAAUCAUUAUAAAAUCCUAGUAAAACCCCUUUCACAUUAAACAAAUUAAAUCUUAAAUCCU